rnacentral:rRNA from 1 species
CCUACGGGAGGCAGCGGUAAGGAAUAUUGGUCAAUGGACGAAAGUCUGAACCAGCCAUGCCGCGUGAAGGAUUAAGGCCCUCUGGGUUGUAAACUUCUUUUAUCUGGGACGAAAAAAGGGUAUUCUUACUCACUUGACGGUACCAGAGGAAUAAGCACCGGCUAACUCCGUGCCAGCAGCCGCGGUAAUACGGAGGGUGCAAGCGUUAUCCGGGAUUUACUGGGUUUAAAGGGUGUGUAGGUGGGCUUGUAAGUCAGUGGUGAAAUCUCCGGGNUUAACCCGGGAAACUGCCAUUGAUACUAUAGGUCUUGAAUUAUCUGGAGGUAAGCGGAAUAUGUCAUGUAGCGGUGAAAUGCUUAGAUAUGACAUAGGAACACCAAUUGCGAAGGCAGCUUUACUACGGAUACAUUGACACUGAGGCACGAAAGCUGGGGAUCAAACAGGAUUAGAUACCCUGGUAGUCCACG